rnacentral:rRNA from 1 species
ACGAUCAUAUCAGCACUAAUGCACCGGAUUCCAUCAGAACUCCAAAGUUAAGUGUGUUUGGGCGAGAGCAGUACUAGGAUGGGUGAUCCAUUGGGAAGUCCUCGUGUUGCACCU